CAGAAAAGUGGCAACACCCGUGCAUUGUUUACAUUUGCGGACGUGUCUUACGGUGCGCCCCCUUCCACCAUUGGAUUUGCAGGCGUCUAGGAGUUUGUAGUUGGCCCAGCAUCGGAUCCAGCAGUUGCGUCUCAGCAGAAACAGGUGGCCGCUCAUACUUAGGUGUCGGCAAAUGGCCAAUUUGCAGCAGCCUUGUCUGCUGUAAUAGCGCAUUGGAUUUUAUCAGCGAUCGUUGCCUCCGCCUCUCAGUUGUGCCAGAAACCUGAAAGUAAAGGUGAGCUGCUGGUCCAGCCGCCUAUUUCUAUGCAGAGGCUGCGCCGUAAUUUUGUGUUUGUGUUUGGUUCCUUCCAGAGGAACAUCAAUGACAGU